AUGACUACCUGUUUUUCUGAUAUUAUUAAAGAUCAUUCCCUGGAUUUCUUGGGUAUUCAGGAAACUAAGAAAAAAAACUUCGAUAAUAAGUAUUUGAGGAGAGUGGACCCCUUUGAUAGAUUCAAUUGGAACUUUAUUCCUUCUGUUGGUAAAUCGGGUGGGAUUUUAUGUGGAGUGAAUAAAGAAACAUUGGAAGUGAUCUCCUGGACUGUAGGUAAUUAUCUACUACAGGUCGCUGUGUUUGAUGUUCGCCUUAAAUGUGUCUGGACCCUGGUAGUGGUGUAUGGGGCGGCUCAUGACAAUAAAAAAGAUGAGUUCCUAACAGAGCUGGACUCGAGCUGCAGUAAUAUUAAUACUCCUUAUGUGAUUGGGGGGGGACUUCAAUAUCCUUCGUGA
rnacentral:rRNA from 1 species